UGUUCAGUAGCUUAGAUGGUUAAAGCGCCGAACUAGCAAUACGGAGUCGUGGGUUCUAAACCCACCAAAACAA
rnacentral:tRNA from 1 species